CAAGAAUGGGAGCAGGUAGACCCUCCCAGUCCAGGCAAAUAUUACCAGUGGCUAAGAGUAAGGUAGUAUCAGUGAAGAAGUGAUCCUAUUAUUGAUAGAUCUUAAAGCAGAGUAGACAAGACUUGCUGAUUAAUUAAAUGUUACGCGUGAGAGAAAUAUAAAAGUUAAGGAUGAAACCAAAGUUUUUAACCUAAACAACUUGGAGGAUGGAGGGGGAAACAAAGGAACUAGUUGCAAGCUGCCAUUUAGCAAGCUGCCAUGAAGAUAGCCAUCUCCAUCUGAUUCAUUUGGGG
rnacentral:lncRNA from 1 species